rnacentral:rRNA from 1 species
GGGUUGUGAGGUUAAGCGACCAAGCGUACACGGUGGAUGCCCUGGCAGUCAGAGGCGAUGAAGGACGUGCUAAUCUGCGAAAAGCGCCGGUAAGGUGAUAUGAACCGUUAUAACCGGCGAUGUCCGAAUGGGGAAACCCAGUGUGACUCGUCACACUAUCAUUAACUGAAUCCAUAGGUUAAUGAGGCGAACCGGGGGAACUGAAACAUCUAAGUACCCCGAGGAAAAGAAAUCAACCGAGAUUCCCCCAGUAGCGGCGAGCGAACGGGGAGGAGCCCGGAGUCUGAAUCAGCAUGUGUGUUAGUGGAAGCGUCUGGAAAGGCGCGCGAUACAGGGUGAGAGCCCCGUACACAAAAGCGCACAUGCUGUGAGCUCGAUGAGUAGGGCGGGACACGUGGUAUCCUGUCUGAAUAUGGGGGGACCAUCCUCCAAGGCUAAAUACUCCUGACUGACCGAUAGUGAACCAGUACCGUGAGGGAAAGGCGAAAAGAACCCCGGCGAGGGGAGUGAAACAGAACCUGAAACCGUGUACGUACAAGCAGUGGGAGCCCCACCACUAAGCCAGUGGUGAACUCCACAUACGCAUCCUUUGCGGAAGAUGCGGUUAACGGAGCGAAAGCGACGUUCAACCUCAGAAGAAGCAGAGGGGGCUUAGUGGUGGGGUGACUGCGUACCUUUUGUAUAAUGGGUCAGCGACUUAUAUUCUGUAGCAAGGUUAACCGCAUAGGGGAGCCGAAGGGAAACCGAGUCUUAAUUGGGCGUUAAGUUGCAGGGUAUAGACCCGAAACCCGGUGAUCUAGCCAUGGGCAGGUUGAAGGUUGGGUAACACUAACUGGAGGACCGAACCGACUAAUGUUGAAAAAUUAGCGGAUGACCUGUGGCUGGGGGUGAAAGGCCAAUCAAACCGGGAGAUAGCUGGUUCUCCCCGAAAGCUAUUUAGGUAGCGCCUCGUGAACUCAUCUCCGGGGGUAGAGCACUGUUUCGGCUAGGGGGCCAUCCCGGCUUACCAACCCGAUGCAAACUGCGAAUACCGGAGAAUGUUAUCACGGGAGACACACGGCGGGUGCUAACGUCCGUCGUGAAGAGGGAAACAACCCAGACCGCCAGCUAAGGUCCCAAAGUCAUGGUUAAGUGGGAAACGAUGUGGGAAGGCCCAGACAGCCAGGAUGUUGGCUUAGAAGCAGCCAUCAUUUAAAGAAAGCGUAAUAGCUCACUGGUCGAGUCGGCCUGCGCGGAAGAUGUAACGGGGCUAAACCAUGCACCGAAGCUGCGGCAGCGACACUUUAGUGU